rnacentral:ncRNA from 1 species
AAGCUUGUUUCGGGGUGGCUUCUUGUCUGAGUCAUCGACCUGUCGAUGCACCGCCCGGUGCGUAUGCGCAGGUGAUGAGGAGGAUGGGAGUCUGAGAAUAUACCCGUAAAACUUGAUCAGAGUAAUAUCUGCGGAAGGAAGAACAAGCCUACGACGU